rnacentral:rRNA from 1 species
AAAAACAUAGCCUUUAGCAAAACAAGUAUUGAAGGUCUCGCCUGCCCAGUGAUUUUUUCAACGGCCGCGGUAUCCUAACCGUGCAAAGGUAGCGUAAUCACUUGUCUCCUAAAUAGAGACUUGUAUGAACGGCUAAAUGAGAGUCUAACUGUCUCCUAAGGCCAAUCAAUGAAACUGAUCCCCCAGUACAAAAGCUGGGAUAACAACAUAAGACGAGAAGACCCUGUGGAGCUUUAAAGACCCCCUAUUUUACUUUUCCACAAAACCACGGAAAUAACCACAUAUAAAUCAUAGGACUAUUUUUAGUUGGGGCGACUUUGGAGCACAAAAAAACCUCCAAGAAAGGGCUUUUCCCUAUCAAGGCCUACCAGCCUAAAUAAACUUUUCUUGACCCAGACACCUGAUCAACGAACCAAGUUACCCCAGGGAUAACAGCGCCAUCCUCUUCAAGAGUCCAUAUCGCCAAGAGGGUUUACGACCUCGAUGUUGGAUCAGGACAUCCUAGUGGUGCAGCCGCUACUAAGGGUUCGUUUGUUCAACGAUUAACAGU